UACGAAGGGGGCUAGCGUUGUUCGGAUUUACUGGGCGUAAAGCGCACGUAGGCGGAUCGUUAAGGCGGGGGUGAAAUCCUGGAGCUCAACUCCAGAACUGCCUUCGAUACUGGCGAUCUUGAGUCCGGAAGAGGUGAGUGGAACUCCUAGUGUAGAGGUGGAAUUCGUAGAUAUUAGGAAGAACACCAGUGGCGAAGGCGGCUCACUGGUCCGGUACUGACGCUGAGGUGCGAAAGCGUGGGGAGCAAACAGG
rnacentral:rRNA from 1 species